AACGAACGCUGGCGGCAGGCUUAACACAUGCAAGUCGAACGCAUCCUUCGGGGUGAGUGGCAGACGGGUGAGUAACGCGUGGGAACGUGCCCUUCAGUUCGGGAUAACCCAGGGAAACUUGGGCUAAUACCGGAUACGUGCGAGAGCAGAAAGAAUUAUCGCUGAAGGAGCGGCCCGCGUCUGAUUAGCUAGUUGGUGGGGUAAUGGCACACCAAGGCGACGAUCAGUAGCUGGUCUGAGAGGAUGAUCAGCCAAAUUGGGACUGAGACACGGGCCGCACUCCUACGGGAGGCUGCAGUGGGUGAGAUUGGACAAGGGGCGCAAGCCUGAUCCAGCCAUGCCGCGUGAGUGAUGAAGGCCUUAGGGUUGUAAAGCUCUUUCGUCCGGGACGAUAAUGACGGUACCGGAAGAAGAAGACGCGGCUAACUUCGUGCCAGCAGCCGCGGUAA
rnacentral:rRNA from 1 species